rnacentral:tRNA from 1 species
GGUGAGGUGGCAGAGUGGUCUAAUGCGGUAGACUAGAACGUUCUAGGCAUCUAUUCCCUUCGGGGGCGCAGGUUCGAAUCCUGCCCUCAUCG